rnacentral:rRNA from 1 species
CAAUAGCGUAUACUGAUGUUGUUGCAGUUAAAAAGCUCGUAGUUGAACUUCUGGUAGGAGUGUCCCGGCCUUUUUGUUUUUACAAAUUGUAUGCUGUGUGACAUCUCUGGCCAUCCUUCUUCUUUGUUUAAAGAAGAUCUUUCACUGUAAAAAAAUUAGGGUGUUCAAAGCAAAAGUUUCUUUGGAAUAUAUUAGUAUGGGAUGAUAAGAUAGGCUCUAGAUGCUAUUUUGUUGGUUUGCACAUUUAGAGAAUGAUUAACAGGGACAGUUGGGGGUAUUCGUAUUUACAUGUCAGAGGUGAAAUUCUUGGAUUUUGGAAAGACGAACUACUGCGAAAGCAUUUACCAAGGAUGUUUUCAUUAA